ensembl:misc_RNA Y_RNA Y RNA
UGCUGCUCUGAGUGCAGCGGUUUCUACAAUUAAUCGAUCACAACCAGUUACAGAUUUCCUUGUUCCUUCUCCACUCCCACUGUUUCACUUGACUAGCCAAAA